UCCAUAUAGGCUUCUACAGUCUCCACGAAAUUUUCUCUACGGACUAGGAAGACGGGUUUUUCCCGAUGAACAUAAACCCUAAUCUUCUCCCUUCAAUUAGCCGGAGCUGACCAGGUGUGUUCUCCGAUCAUCUUCUUCUUUUUCUACUGCUCUAUUUUCCCCUAAAGCUUCGCUAUCCAUGUUCGCACAUUUCAUUCUUCCGCACAGAGCUUACUUUUCUGUUAAAUCUGAAUUUUGGGGUAAGAAUUUGGAUUUUCGAAACAGAAAUGAUAGUUUGAGUGAUAAUUCAAGAAAAUCUCAUGUGUAUUUUCAACCGAUUAGAGCUGGUGUGAAAUGGAGGAAGGAGCUUCCGUUUGAUAAUGUAAUACAGAGGGAUAAGAAGCUGAAAUUGGUUACUCGGAUUAGGAAGAUUCUAGUUCAACAUCAUGAUAAUGUUAUGUCACUUAGGGGUUUGGGUAAAUUCAGGAGAGAUUUAGGUGUACAGGAAAAGACGAGGCUCAUUGAGUUGUUGAAGAUGUUCCCUGCAGUAUUUGAGAUUGUAGAAGAACGGGCGUUUUCUUUGAAAUUCAAAUUGACGGAAGAGGCUGAAAGGUUGUACUUCGAGGAGCUGAAGAUCAGAAAUGAAAUGGAAGGUUUGUUGGUUACUAAGCUGAGGAAGUUACUGAUGAUGUCUGCUGAUAAGCGAAUAUUGUUGGAGAAAAUUGCACAUUUGAGGACUGAUUUUGGUCUUCCUUCCGAGUUUCGUGACACGAUUUGCCAUCGUUAUCCUCAGUACUUUAGAGUUGUGGCAACCGAGAGCGGUCCAGCUCUCGAAUUGACACACUGGGAUCCUGAACUUGCUGUUUCUGUAGCAGAGUUAGCCGAGGAGGAGAACCGAGCUAGAGAAUUAGAAGAGAAGAAUUUGAUUAUUGACCGACCGUUGAAGUUUAAUCGAGUGAAGCUACCUAAGGGGCUUAAGCUUUCGAAGAAUGAUAUGAGGAAAAUGAAUGAGUUUAGGGACAUUCCUUAUAUCUCUCCGUAUUCUGAUUUCUCAGGGUUUAAGGCAGGUACACCCCAGAAAGAGAAACAUGCUUGUGGGGUUGUUCAUGAGAUUUUAAGCCUUACACUUGAGAAGAGAACCCUUGUUGAUCAUUUCACUCAUUUCCGGGAGGAGUUUAGAUUCUCCCAGCAGUUGAGGGGGAUGCUAAUAAGGCAUCCCAAUAUGUUUUAUGUCUCGUUGAAAGGGGAUAAAAACUCGGUUUUCCUCAGAGAAGCAUAUCGCGAUUCUCAGUUGAUCGACAAAGAUCGGUUGUUAAUCGUAAAGGAGAAGUUUCGAGGUCUUGUGGCUGUUCCUCAAUUCAAAGGCAGAGGAGCUCCCGAAAGUGACACGGAUUGGCGAGAAACCAAUCAUGGAGAUGAUAUGAGAGGUGAAGAAUGGUCUGAUGUCGACGAUGACGAUGAUGAAUUCGACAACGAUGGUGAGGAUGACUGGAUUGAUGAACAGAUCAAUAACUUGGAAAUGGCUGAUCAGAGGCUUCUUUCUCCUCCGGCAUUACCUUAUGGACUGCCCCAAGAAAGAUGGUGAGAGGUAUAAAGUUGUAUAUUUAUGCAUAUUGUUUACUCAAAUAUAUUAUGUGCAUAUUGUUUACUCUUUGAAUUUCAAUUCGGUUUGUAAACAUUAGGUAGGUUUCGAUACGAGUUUGGAUGCCAUCGGAGAUUAAAUUUAAGCAUUGCCUUUACAUUGCUUACUGUUAACAUAUUGGAUAAAAAAUUUGGUUAAAUCCUAAAUUUAGUCCUUCAAUCUUAGAAUUGUGUUUUAAUUAAAUGUAAUUAUGGUCUGCAUAGAUAGAAAAAUUGAAGUAAAGCUUGCAUAUCUAUGAUGCUGAGGACAUAGAGACAAUGGUGAAAUGGGUUGAGCAACCUCAUGGUGGAUAUAUGGACCUCGACCACACAACCAUAUCCUUUCAUGUAUAAAGAGUUAAAAAUAAGGUCUUUGUAAUACUCGAGUUAGAUAAGGAUGUUCGAGAAAAGUAAAGAGACUUCGGGGAAGUUCAAGAGAUUUAAGUAUGGUUUAAGGGGUCCAAGAAAAGAUAUUUUUAAUGAUCUAGCAAGGUUUUAAAAGAAACUAAAGAGUAGUUUAAUGUAAGGUUUUGUAUAUGAAACGCAAAAAUAGAAUCUCUAGGAAUAUAAUAUCUAGCAAAAAAGUCCCUGGAAAAUCUUGAAUUUGCAAAAAGAGGUCACUGACCAGAAAAUCUAUAGCAUAUAUGGUUUUAGAAUGAGUCAGCAGCAAUGAAAAUCCAACCAUCAGAAUGGGAGUCCAUAAAUUUCAAGUUCGGAUUCAGACCAGUUCUUCACGAAACAAAACAAGGAUCUGGGUCCAUUAUUCACUCAAUGGAAUCGAUUGUUGGAUAUUCUCCAGAUAAAAGUCAGAAUAUGGUUCUUACGGGGUUUAACAAAGCAUAUGCCAAUUACAAAAAAUGCUUUUUUAUUAGGUACCCUUUGUUCUUGAUGAAACAAGGUCAGUACAAGUUUAUUCUCUCUUUUAAAUAAGGAAGUAUAUAAAUUAGAGUUGAAUGAGAUUUAAAUCACACCAUGUUGAUCAAACCAAUUUAAACCACGAACCAAACUGAUUUAAAUGUUGAACCAACCUACUACACUGUCAUCUGUGCGUGCUUAGGAUUUCCUUCUCUAUUGGCUUCGUGUGGUGAUUUAGUGAUUCAGGUGCCAAAAUUGCGCAGUGAAGGAAAUAUAAUUGUAAAGCUACGAUGGUAGUGGUCAGGAUACGACGAUGAGCAUAAUGUGUAGUAGUCAAUUUAAUAUCAGCUAAGUCAAGGCUUAGAGACUCGAGA